UGGGCGUCUCCUGAUGGAACCCUGAACAUUUAUUCACAGGGCGUUUUUGGCAGCCUCCGAGUUCCUCCUACCAUCAUCCUGGCUCCCUCUAUACCCGGCGGGCCCCAGAUCGCUGCUGGCAGUGUGGCCCAGAGGUGUGGACUCCUUUGGGAAGAGGCAGAGGGCUCCCCGGAGGAGAGCGCGCAGCCCCCUCUCGUUUCCGUGGCAUGUCAGGGACUAAAUGUUCGCUUUGGAGCUAGCAACACUUGGGUUUCAUCUGAGCCGCUCCGCUCACCCGCUCUGCCACCCUGGCCUCACGUCCAGUCAGCGGCAGCCCCGCGAUUCCGUGGAGCCGGGAGUCGCAACACUUCCGAGGAGAUAACGUAUGUUCUCUUGGAAUCUCACGAGGGGGACCAGAGUCCGAGAGCCACGUGGCAGCCUUAACGGUGACCCUGCACAUGCCAAGAGCAUAGUCUCCGGCUGACGUGGCCACCCAUUGACCCGGGGCGCUGCUUCGCAAUGUUCC